AAGUUUGGAAAUUGGUUUAAUUUUUCAGAAUGGUUUAAUUUAAUUUUUAGAAUAGUUUAGUAUUUAAAUAAUAUCCUUAGAUAAUGCUGUUAGCUAAACACUAAAACUAAAAGUAGUUCCUUCUGAAAGAAGGAACAUACAUCCCCAAUGACUACAGUUAUUGAAUGUUUUAUUCUGGAUCAACAACACGGAUAAAUAUUUUUUGAGAAUGAAAAAUUCAAUUUUAAUAGCAUUUUCUGUCUUCAUAAUAUAUUCUUGAUACUGCAUUUUCUAGCUAGUGCAACAAGAAGUCUUAAAUUUCUGAGCUGUAUUCAAAAUUUAGGUUUUAGCACCCAUGGAAAUAUUUACAUGAACUCUGCUUUAUCCCUGUUUAUUUACUAAUGGCCUUUGCCACUGUUAUCACUGCACCCUGCUUUUCCUUGCAAAUAACCUUGUUUUUUACUGCCUUGAUAUAAACAGUUUGAUAAAACAGCUCUUUUCCCAUAAAAACUAGGAAAACAAAAGAAUCCUUGAAAUAACCUUGAAAUGGCUAACAAACAAACUGAAACUGAUUUUUUAUUCUAUGCUCAGAAGCUUUAGAAAAAUGUGUGCACGUAACAAAAAUCACAAGGGCAUGGAGUAUUGCUACACAGGCAAUAUCAGAUUGAUGCAGAAGUCUACUUGAACUGACAUCAAGGCAAAUUUUUAAGAUAGUAUGACUUUAGAGGCAUAGUUUUUCUUUUCUUUUUUUUGUUUUUUGGAUCUCUUUUUAAAAUUGUUUUGGCAAUGGUUAAAUAAAAAGAAAGUGGAAGGUAAUAAAGAGAGCACAGGCUCAAAGGAAGCGAAAAACACAAAACUUCCUGUUUACUCAUAUCAAAAAGUAAGACAACUCUAAGGAAUUAGUUUUGUUAAAAAGGAAUAGGAGUGAGCAAGUCUGGUCACAUUUUUGUUUUUCAAAUUGCAAGCAUUUUGGUCUGAAAGCCAUAAAAUGAAGUGGUAUUUUUUUUUUCUCAAAAUAGUACCGAUUUUCUUUUUUCAGACACCUCUACUGAUGUCCUUUGGUGUCUGUGGAAAAUAAAGAACUGUCUAAGAUCCUGGAAGUCAGCACACUUGCUGAAGAAUUUGAGUCGCCUACGUUAUAGGGAUAUAAUAAUGUCCACAAGUGCCAGCCUGAUGAAGAAGAUACUCCACAUUCUUAGCAAGGUAAGUUUUGAUACCACACCAGUGAGCUGCAGCCAUAUUUACGUACUGUGCUAUAACCUGAGGAACAUUGUUGCCACUGAUCAAGUGCCCAGUCCAGUUGGAGACAAUCAAUGACUAACUCAGUAGUCUUUUUGCUUAAUUAAAAAAAGAUUUCCCUCCAUCCUUUCUAAUAAAUUUAUGUCCACUGACA
rnacentral:lncRNA from 1 species